UGCUUGGUUGGUUGGUGUUUGACCACAACCAGGAUUUUUAAGAACUGACAUUAAUUACACACUGAGCUGCCUGGCUGCUCCCAGUCAAGUUGCUGCCCUGUCUGCCUGCCCUGCUUUGAGCUGAACUGGACAGGCUGGAAGGUAUCUUGGCUUUCACUGUACUGGGGAAUAACUUCACCUUUGUGGAGAAUAAGUGGUUCCAAAAAAUUGAACAGGAACUGUUGGAUGAGAGAGAGAUGGUUUCUAGCCUGGCAUCCUUCUUCAGAUUUGAAGAAUCAGCGAACACGGAUUCUUAAGUCUCAAGAGUUCUGCUUGUUUUGGAGAAAUUAAACUAUUAAACGUUCUUGGCUGAAGACCAAUUCUAAUAUUUUGUAAAAUUAAAAAGUCAUAAAUCAAAGG